AAGUCGUAACAAGGUUUCCGUAGGUGAACCUGCGGAAGGAUCAUUACCUUUCAAUGCAGAAGUAUCAGGCAAGUUAGUUGCUCUUGCAACGAAAUUUGCUCAAUGCCUCCUGUGUUAUAUACCCUUGUCUCUCAAAUACUAUUUGUUUCCUCGGCGGGCUUGCCUGCCGGUUGGAUAAAACUAUAACCUUUUUAAUUUCAAUCAGCGUCUGAAUAAAUUAAUAAUUACAA
rnacentral:misc_RNA from 1 species